UUAUUUUCUGAAGGCACCUUCGGGACACUUACCCUUCCCUCAGCGGGGGCCCAACUUCGCGCGCGGUGCAUCGUAGGGGUUGUAGUUCGUCCGCGGGAGCGGGCCCUCUGGAGCCCCAGCCAGAGGUGUGAGAAAGAAGCGAGCCCUCGAGUUCCUCGGGGCAUCUGGGAAGGUCUUUUCAGGAUCCAGGCAGAAAUUUACAGAGCUAGGAGUUUAUUUUAACUUUCCCAGGCGCUUUAAGGGAUGGAGAUAUGCGAGUCAUUCAGUGGAUGGUGUUAGUCCUGUUUUCUCUCGUGAAGGCCUGCCCUUCGAGUCUCUUCCCACCUUUUCCCCUGCCCGUCUCCCACCUUCUCCCUUCUCCACCGACCUCUGUACCCUCCUCCCCACUGGCUCGCAGAAGCCAAACAGCCUGUGUUCAGUUUGCCUCCACAGAGUGGUUGGGCGACCUUGAUGAAGUAAGCAACCUCUGUGCCUCAGUUUCCUUAUCUGUAACAUAGGGAUAGAAUAGUACCCGCCUAAUAGGGUUAUUUGAGGAUGAAAGGAGUUAAGGCUCGUGAAGACGUUCUUUCACAUAUAAAUGCUCAAUUAAAUAUUAGAUGCCGUACUCCUCUUCCAUCAGGGCUCUCUCAGACAAUACGACAGAGAGAAAGGUAAAAGCAGGUGUGUUCCACUAAACUGUGGGCCUUUCAUUAUGGGCAGGUACUGUGUCAUAUCUAGACUUUGUGCCCACCCUAGCCCCAGUGCUUCUCAGCGCUGUGAUCCUGCGCCUUGUAAGCCUCUAUCAAUGUUUCUUGAAGAAUCAUGUUUCUGGCAUCAGGAUGGGUAAGUAGGUGGCAGUUCAGCACCCCCUAGAGAGAAACUCAGGCCAAGGUUUGGUAAGUGGGGUGCCCUAGGCCUAGUAGAGAAAACACAAGUACAUUUUAAGCUUUCUCCAAAUAAUCUGUAUAUUGUAGUCAUGUGUUGUACACACAGUCUUUUCUUCUUGUAAUUUAGGAACAAAGGAACAGUAAAUGAAAUAACUUGGCUAGAAUAUGGCAGUAACUACAAGGCACAGUCUGCUGUGGCAGGAAGGUCACCACCACUCAUACCUCUGCAGCUCUGUGAAUACAUGAAUUAACUGAACAGAUUCCUUGAGGAUAAAGUAGGCUCCUGGGGCCCCUGCUUGUUGGACUACUUGCUUUGCGGAUGUUGAACAGAUAAUUCUCAUGAGUUUGAGUGACGUCUGAUCUACCGAUACGGUUUCACUCUGUCACCCAGUACGAAGUACAUGGCUCCCUCACUACAGCCUCGACUCCCCGGGCUCAAGUGAUCCUCUGACUAUGGCGGCAUGCUACUAAGCCAGGCUAUUUUUUUGUUUUCUGUAUUUUGUGGAGACAAUGGGGAUUCGCCAUGUUGCCCAGGCUAGUCUCAAAAUCCUGGGCAAGUGAUCCACCUGCCUAGGCUUCCCAAAGUGCUGGGAUUACAGUGAGCCACUGUGCCUGGCCUCCUGUUGCAUUCUAAUUGCCUGUAUUUGACUCUGAAUAAAGCACUAAGCCUUUCAAUUGCACUGUUGUUACUCAGUUCAUAAAUCCUCUCAUUGGUCACCCUUAGAUUAAAAUCACAUAUCUAAACUGGUUUGAGAAGCCAAGGCAGGUGGAUCAUUUGAGGUCAGGAGUUCAAGACCAGCCUGGCUAACAUGGUGAAACGCUGUAUCUACUAAAAAGUACAAAAAUGGCCUGAGCAUGGUGGCAUGCACCUGUAAUCGCCAGAGGCUGAGGCAGGAGAAUUGCUUAAACCCAGGAGGCAGAGGUUGCAGUAAGCCGACACUGUGCCACUGACCUCCAGCCUGGGCCACAGAGCAAGACUUAACCUCAAAAACUGGUUUUGGAUAUUGAAAGAAAAUCAUAGCCGGGCACAGUGGCUCACUCUGGUAAUCCCAGCACUUUGGGAGGCCAAGGCGGGUAGAUCACAAGGUCAGGAGAUCGAGACCAUCCUGGCUAACACUGUGAAACCCCAUCUCUACUAAAAAUAAAAACAAAAAAAUUAGCCGGGUGUGGUGGCACCUGGUGGGCCUGUAGUCCCAGCUACUUGUGAGUCUGAGGCAGGAGAAUUGCUUGAACCUGGGAGGCGGAGGUUGCAGUGAGCCAAGAUUGUGCCACUGCACUCCAGUUGGGCGACAGUGAGACAACAUCUCAAAAAAAAAAAAUCAUAUAUUCACAUAAAGAGAAGAAGAUAAUUAAGAGAUUCUCUGUUUCAGCAUUUCCCUUAUUUAGUUAUUACAUAAAUAACUAAAUCCUGGGAUAGGAGAGAUCAUGGAGAAUUGUAAGAAUCUAGAGUUUCUGUUCUUUAAAAGAUAACCAUAAUAUUUAAAAGAUAUCUAUGGGGUCCAAAGUAGUUUUGUGAAGUGUACAUAUUACCUUUAUUGUAAAUAAAUUAACAGCUUUAUUUUUCAAGCAAUACUAGGAUGUAGUAGGAGAAAAGGAUGUUCUAGUUUUAUAACAGGAGAGGGAAGCUGGUAUUGAAGAAGUAAAGAAUGAUGGAUAAAAACCAUAACGAGAUGUCACUUCAAAUCCCCUAGGAUGACUAUAUUUAAAAGGAAGACAGAAAACAAUAAUUGGUGAGGAUAUGAAGAAAUUGGAGCCCUGAUCAAUUGCUGGUAGGAAUGUAAAAUGGUACACCCACUCUAGAAGACAAUUUGGCAGUUCCUCAAAGAGUUGGACAUGGAAUUACCGUAUGACCCAUAAAUUCCACUGUGAACUAUAUACCUUGAACACAAAUGUUCAUGGCACCGCUACUCACAAUAACCAAAAAGUAGAAAUAACCCAAAUGUUCAUCAGUAGAUAAAUGGAUAAACAAAACCAUAUAUCAUUUGGCAGUAAAAAGGAAUGAAGUGCUAACCAUGCUGCAACAUGGAUGAAACUUGAGAACAUGCUGAGCGAAAGCAGUCACAGAAGACCACUUACUGUAUGAUUCCAUUGAUACAAAAUGUCCAAAAGUAGAUUCAUGGUUGCUUAGGGUGGGGGCUAUGGAACAGUGAGGUGGAGGGGUGACAGCUAAAGGAUGUGGGGUUUCUUCGUGUGGUGAUGGAAUGCUCUUAAAUUAACAGGGGUGAUAGUUUCACCUAUCUGAUAUACUACAAAUUAUUGAAUUAGUUUAAAUGGUGAAUUACAUGUGAGUUAUAUUUCAAUCAAGCUGUUAAAACAAGUUUUUAAAAGAGUGGUAGGAAACAUUCCUUUCAAGUCUUAUAAAUAUACUGUAUGUAUAUGUACAUUUACUGUAUACAUGUAAAUAUAUAGAUAAUUCUAUGUUAUUAUUAGGGAAAAGUAUUUUUAAUACUCCAUAAUGAAAAAGUAUGUAAAGUACUUUAUAGGUAUGACAAUAUUUCAACAAAUAUUGUUGUGUCUGGUUUAUUCCUGACAAUGUGAUUGCUGCCAUAGAGGACACAAACAUUUACUAUCUCAACUUCUCCCAUUCUUCUUGAUCUAUCUCGAAUCAGGCUUUCACCCCACCACUCCUCAAAAACUGCUGGGGAUUUUGCAGUGACUUCCACAUUGCUAAAUCUGAUGGUCAGUUCUUACUCUUCAUCUCACUUGACCCUGAAGCAGCAUUUAAAACAGUUGUCAUUCCCUGUGUCUAGAAACCACAUUCUCUUGACUCUCCUUCUAUAAUACCUAAGUAGCCACUUCUUCCUAGUCCUUUAUGGUUUCUCCUUACCUCCCCAAACACUGAAUUGCUCCAGAAGUCCUCCUAUCUUCUCUACUACACUUACACUCUUUUUGAACCCAUUCGUAUGGUUUUAAAUGCCAUCUGUAAUCUAACAAUUUCCCCGCUUUAUAUCAUCAGUUUAGAAAACACAUAUAUUCAGUCCAAACUCACAUCAAAGUACCUACUUAGUAUAUUCUCUUGAGUGUCUAACGUGCUUCUCAAAAUUAACAUGUCUAAAACUGAACAUAACCGUCUUCCAAAACCUACUUCUUCAGCAGUGUUCCCUAUUUCAGUUAAUUUCUAUUCUUCCAGCAGAACAGACUAAAACCUAGAGUCAUCUUAGACUCCUUUUUCUUUCACAUUCGAUAUCCUAUUUGCUAUGCACUGAACUGUGACCACCCUCCCCAAAUUCAUGUUAAAGCCUAACCCUUAGUGUGACUCUAAUUGGAGACAGGACUUUUAGGAGAAAAGUAAGGUUAAAUGAGGUCAUAAAGGUGUUGUUUUGAUCCAUUAGGAUUGGUGGCUUUAUAAGAAAAGAUCUCUUUCUCUGUCCAUGCACAUACACCAGGAAAGGCUAUUUGAAGACAGAGCAAGAAGAGCUUGGUUAUCUACAGGCCAGGAAGAGAGUCCUCACCAAAACAUAAUCAUGCUGAUACCCUGAUCUUUAACUUCCAGUCUGUGCUGUUGAGAAAAUCAACUUCUGUUGUUGAAGCCACCCAGUCUGUGCUACUUUAUUAUGGCAGCUUGAUCUACCUUCAAAACAUAUUCCGAUUACAACCAGUCUCCCCAAAUUCUGUUAGUACCUUAACUCAAGUUACUGUCAUCUCUCACUUGAAAUCGAGCAGUAUCCUCCUAACUACAGGUGUCAGUCUCUUCAUUGAGAUGCAGUCCAUUUCCCCUCUUGAAACUGAGCUGGCCUUUUGGCUUGCUUUGACCAAUAGAUCUACCAUUUGUUAACAUCGUUUUGUCCUCUUUUCUGCUCAGAAACAGAUUAGGCACGGUUCUGCCUCAAGGCCUUAGAACCAUCUACUCUGUCUGCUUGGAUUAUUCUCCCCACAGAUUUCUUGCUUCCUUCUUCCUUCAUGAAGAAAUGUCACCUCAUUGAGGCCUUCUGUAGUAGCCCAAAUAAUGGCCUUCAAAGAUGUCCACAUCCUUAUCCCCAGAACCUGUCAAUGUGUUAUCUUAAUGGCAAAAGUGACUUUGCAAAUGUGAUUAUAUUUAAGGAUCUUGAGGUCAGAAUUAUCCUGGAUUAUCCAGGAAAGCCCAGUAUAAUCACAAGGGUCCUUAUAAGUGCAAGGGGGAGGCAAGAGAGAGAAGGAGAUGUCAUAAUGAAGACAGAGUCAAGUGAUGAAAUUGCUGUCUAGGGUAGAGGUGGAGGUGGAGGGGGCAUGAUCCAAGGAAUGCAAGAAGCCUCCAAAAGCUAGAAAAUGUGAGGACACAGAUUCUCCCCUAGAACCUCAGGAAGAAACCCGCGUUUACUGACCCUGAUUUUAACCCAGUAAGUCCCUUUUCAAAAUGGUAAGAUAACAAAUUUGUGUUGCUUUAAGCCAACUGAGUUUGUAAUAAUUUGUUAUAGUAGCAAUAGAAAACUAGCACACCUUCCUAGCCAUCCUAUCUAAAAUGGCAGCCCAUGUCCUUCCUGGCACUUCCUAUCUCCCUUCCAUGUUUUUUUUAAAUCAUAUAUAUAAUGUAUUGUACUAUUUUACUCACUGUCUUUUCCACUGGAAAGCAAACUCCAUGUAAAUAGGGA